UGGGGAAUCUUGCGCAAUGGGGGAAACCCUGACGCAGCGACGCCGCGUGCGGGAUGAAGGCCUUCGGGUUGUAAACCGCUUUCAGCAGGGACGAGGCCUUAUGGUGACGGUACCUGCAGAAGAAGCUCCGGCUAAAUACGUGCCAGCAGCCGCGGUAAUACGUAUGGGGCGAGCGUUGUCCGGAAUUAUUGGGCGUAAAGGGUACGUAGGCGGUCUAUUAAGUCAGGUGUGAAAGCGUGAGGCUUAACCUCAUUAAGCACUUGAAACUGAUAGACUUGAGUGAAGGAGAGGAAAGUGGAAUUCCUAGUGUAGCGGUGAAAUGCGUAGAUAUUAGGAGGAAUACCGGUGGCGAAGGCGACUUUCUGGACUUUUACUGACGCUCAGGUACGAAAGCGUGGGGAGCAAACAGG
rnacentral:rRNA from 1 species